AUAUAUGUAUAUAAUGAAUACCACCGUUCUGACUUGAUAAAUAUAUGUGCCGAGUCAGAAUGGUUUCAUGGCCCCCUCCUCAUUCUCAUAUGAAAACACUGAACCCCUCGCUCAUGCCUGUGUGUUUGUCUGUGUAAUCAGAUUACUGUGACCAUCUAAGAAAAACAAAGAAUCAAUUCCAUCGGAGAGAGCGGACAAAAAGUGGCGUGAGGAAAAAUGACGCCGGAGAUUCCUCCCUUUAGGAGUCCAAUAAAAGGUCGAAGUGGAAAAUGGAAAAACAGAGGAUUGAAGAUGGAGAGGAAGAAGAAAAAGAGAGCGAGAGAAGGAAGGAAGACACAGAUCUGAUUUCCACCAGGGAAACUUGGCCAUUGUGCAGCUGCAUUUCUGAGGUUUAUGGGAAUCGGGGCCGGUAUUCUCAGAGCACAUGACCUCUCUAAGCUGAUUUCAUGCCAGCGUUGCUGCUCAGUGAUCAGGCCAGAGCUCAGAGACUGAUCUGGGAUCAGGUUUGCUGGAGCUGCGAGGCGUCAACAUGAACUUCAGUUUAGAGUGUUUUCAGCAGUGAAUUUUUUUGACUUGGUCUCAUCCUGCGUCUUUGUCUUAGGGACAGAAAUCAUGUUGUUUUUUUUCUGAUGUUCUUUCAGUUCUGGGAAAAAACAGAGCUGGAGUUUGAUCGGAACCUGUUACUGAGCCUCGAUAAUUAAAACCGUUUUCAUUCACAUUUGGUUUGAAUUUUUAAACUGAAAAAAAAAAACCCAUAAACAAUUGAUCAACAAUUAAACCUGUCAAAAUAAAUAUUUUGUUAUAUAUUAUUUAUUAUUAUGACAGACGUGUCUUAACGUGUCCCAAUUAUUAAAAUCAGACACUUUUUCAAAACGAGAACACCUGUCUUAGAACUUUUUGACUUGAGGAACAUCAGGCGUGAAUUGUUGAGCAGCUCAGUCUUUUUUUUUGGCUUUGGCAAAAUGACAGCAGUAUGGGUCGCAUCCCACUGUGGCCCAGUCACAACACCUUGUUUCUGGGCAGUACGUCGGUUCUAAAACAAAUCACAGGUUCUGAGUUUUUGAGAAACUGUCCCACACACUCGCCGCCUCGCUGCCAUCACCUCAUUAAUCACAGACGUUGUGUAACUCUGACUGAGGUGUGUGUUAAAUUUAGACAGACUGACAGCCAGUGUGUGUGUGUGUGUGUGUGUGUGUGAGGCUGCGGCGAGGAAGAGUGAGAGUGAGAGGUGCAGCAGCCGAGGGGAGGGGGGGGCGGGAGGGAGAGUGAGCGGGUACACAUCUGGACGGCCCAUCUGGAGCAUACUGAGGUCAUUAGUCACUGAACCACACACGCAUCAUUUCCUGUGUGUUCAGCCCUUCGCCAUUGGUUCCUGCAGGCGUUCCAGCUCCGUCCGCCGUCGCCUUUGAGCCUCUUUGUAUUUUGACGAUUGUCUCAAUAACAAGUGGUAACAGUUUACGUCACUUUUUGUUUUUGUCCUGAAUCCCAAUCAGACGGACAAAAUCUGAUGGUAGAACAUGAGGGUCG